rnacentral:rRNA from 1 species
AGAUAGUUGGUGAGGUAACGGCCCACCAAGUCGACGAUCGGUAGCCGACCUGAGAGGGUGAUCGGCCACAUUGGAACUGAGAGACGGUCCAAACUCCUACGGGAGGCAGCAGUGGGGAAUAUUGGGCAAUGGGCGAAAGCCUGACCCAGCAACGCCGCGUGAGUGAAGAAGGCUUUCGGGUUGUAAAGCUCUGUUAUAGGGGACGAAGGAAGUGACGGUACCCUAUAAGGAAGCCCCGGCUAACUACGUGCCAGCAGCCGCGGUAAUACGUAGGGGGCGAGCGUUGUCCGGAAUGACUGGGCGUAAAGGGCGUGUAGGCGGCUUUAUAAGUCUGGAGUGAAAGUCCUGCAUUCAAUGUGGGAAUUGCUUUGGAGACUGUAGAGCUUGAGUGCGGAAGAGGUAAGUGGAAUUCCCAGUGUAGCGGUGAAAUGCGUAGAGAUUGGGAGGAACACCAGUGGCGAAGGCGACUUACUGGGCCGUAACUGACGCUGAGGCGCGAAAGCGUGGGGAGCGAACAGGAUUAGAUACCCUGGUAGUCCACGCGGUAAACGAUGAAUGCUAGGUGUUGCGGGUAUCGACCCCUGCAGUGCCGGAGUAAACACAAUA